rnacentral:rRNA from 1 species
CGCGUAGGCGGCCUGAUAAGUCAGAUGUGAAAGUCCACGGCUCAACCGUGGAAGUGCAUUUGAAACUGUCAGGCUUGAGUAUCGGAGGGGAGUGUGGAAUUCCCGGUGUAGAGGUGAAAUUCGUAGAGAUCGGGAGGAACACCGGUGGCGAAGGCGACACUCUGGACGAAUACUGACGCUGAGGCGCGAAAGUGUGGGGAGCAAACA